rnacentral:rRNA from 1 species
UACAGAGACUGCAAGCGUUAUUCGGAUUCACUGGGCGUAAAGGGUGCGCAGGCGGCCAGGUGUGUAUGGUGUGAAAUCUCGGGGCUUAACCCCGAAACUGCGCCAUAAACUAUCUGGCUAGAGUUUCGGAGAGGAUAGUGGAAUUCCUGGUGUAGCGGUGAAAUGCGUAGAUAUCAGGAGGAACACCAAUGGCGAAGGCAACUAUCUGGACGAAUACUGACGCUCAGGCACGAAAGCAUGGGGAGCGAAAGGG